rnacentral:lncRNA from 1 species
UUGGUUUUCGAGGAGAGGUUCGCAGAAUUUUUGGAAAAGUCCAAGUCGCCCGAGAGCAACACCAGGGAUUGUAAGCAGCAAGGAGCCAUGUGAAGCUUUGCGAGCGGGCACACGCCAUCAACGUCAAGGUCCAAGCACAGCAUCUUCAAUCCUCGUUUAUUACGCUCUCAUUCAAACGCUGACAUUUGUUUUCGCUUGCAUUUGUCUAAUGCUUUCUUCCAGGGCCCGUGGCAGGAAAUUAAGACAGCUUUGCGUUGUUGCUGUCGUCGCCGGCCCUUGCUGCUGUCAGGGAACAUGAAACGGAUCUUCGAGCCACUGCUGUUAAAGUCGGCAGCUACAGCGUUGCUGUUGCUGCUCGGAGCCAGAGUAGCCAGGAUCGAUGAUCUUAUUUUAGCGGCGAGUGAAUUAUAUAGAGUUUACAACAGCAACAGGUACACUAUAUUUCUUCGCUCUUCUCCUUAGCCGCUCACUGACUGACCCGUUUUCUUUUCCUGAUUUCAACUCUCAACCAGGUGUCCGAUCCAUUGACUGCCGACAUGUGUCACACAGCAACCUGUAGCAAAAAACCGGAUCGAGCCAUUUAACUUCGACGGAUUACUUUUUCG